rnacentral:lncRNA from 1 species
CCUGCCAAGAACCAAGGCCUGGAAUCAGGAAUCCCAUGGGCCUACUACCUGGUGCUCUACCCCACUGUGGUUGAGCUGGUAUCUAAGCUGCAAGACAAAGUCCCUGUUACUCUUCCCUCUGCUUUUCGCAGGCAGAAGCAGUCUCUCCUUUUUGUCAUCACAGCUGUGAAUGUGCUGGGUCACACUGCAGGCCAGCACAUCUGAGAGUCUCACCCAAGGCCCAUGGUGUGUUCUACCUGGUUACCGCUGCUGAUUAUUCAGGGCCCAAAGGCUCUUUAGUCAGCAGGUGGUGAAUCAUGCCAGGCCUGAGUCCUUCUCUUCAAGGCAGUGGGUUCCCUUCUUCCCAGGGUGUGUCUAGAAAUGCUGUCUGGGAGCUAGAUGUGUUAGGACUCUGCCUGGUACCCUAUCUUACUAAGACUGAGCUGGUAUCCAAGUCACAAGACAAAGUUGUCUUUACUGUUUCCUAUUAAUAUUAUCAACUCAAUUCUGGCAACAUAGUGAGACCCAUCUCUACAAAAAUUAAUUGGGCAUGGUGGUGUAUGCCUGUAGUUCUAGCUACUCAGGAGGCUGAGUUGGAAGGAUCACUUGAGCCCAGGAGUUUGAGGCUGCAGUGAUUCAUGAUCAUGCCACUGCACUCCAGCAGCCUGGGCAACAGAGCAAGACACUGUCUCAAAAAAAGGAAAACAAAAGGAAAAAUUAAAAAAAUGUAAAAUAUAUAAAAUUGAAUAUACAAUAACAACAAAACAAAAGACAAGAUAUGGUAAAUGAAGUUAAAGUGUUCUAAAGUACUAGCAUUGUCAGGGAAGUGGUAAAAAAAAAUUUUUAGG